rnacentral:pre_miRNA from 1 species
AGUGUGAUAGCUGGGUCAUAUUGGUGGGUCCAUUCCUAAUUUUUUGAGGAAACUCCAUACUUCUUUCCAAACUGAUUGUACUAAUUUGCAAUCCCCCCAACAAU